rnacentral:rRNA from 1 species
CCUACGGGUGGCAGCAGUGAGGAAUAUUGGUCAAUGGGCGGGAGCCUGAACCAGCCAAGUCGCGUGAGGGAAGACGGUCCUAUGGAUUGUAAACCUCUUUAGGCGGGGAGCAAUGCCGGGCACGCGUGCCCGAAGGGAGAGUACCCGCAGAAUAAGCCUCGGCUAACUCCGUGCCAGCACCCGCGGUAAGACGGAGGAUGCGAGCGUUAUCCGGAUUUAUUGGGUUUAAAGGUUGCGUAGGCGGAUUUUUAAGUCAGCGGUAAAAUGUCGGGGCUCAACCCGGGCCGGCCGUUGAAACUGGCGGUCUUGAGUGGGCGAGAGGUAUGCGGAAUGCGUGGUGUAGCGGUGAAAUGCAUAGAUAUCACGCAGAACUCCGAUUGCGAAGGCAGCAUACCGGCGCCGGACUGACGCUGAGGCACGAAAGCGUGGGGAUCGAACAGGAUUAGAUACCCUGGUAGUC